rnacentral:lncRNA from 1 species
UGUGAGCUAACGGACCCAACCAUUCCAAGAUACCCGCCAUUGCGUCUGUCCACUCCUUCGCUAGCCCCGGAUCAUAAACCGCGGAAGAGCUCAAGUUUUUCGAGUACGGCUUUAGCCUCUCUCUCAACGAUUUUCUCACGCUCGCUGGUAACAUGUUGUAAAGGUCGUCUCUCGCAUCGUCGCCUAUCAAGUGGGGAGAUGCAACGAAUCUCUCUAUCACGAUGAUGACAUUAGCGUAGUGUAACGCUAAGCAAGCGGCGCCGAGGGUGUUAGGAGCAGCAUCUGACAACUUGGGUCUUUCAACGUGGACAGUGUUGGAACUUCCUUGGAGAAUCUGAUGAUGCUCUGCGCUACUAUGCCUAGCUCCGUUCUGGGUCCUAGUGCUGAGAGGAGUGAUACCGUCUUGAGACACCAUGCAGCCUUUAAAGGGACCAACCUGUGUUAAACGGUUGGGUUUUGACUGCUUUUUCGCUGAGGAGACCGAAGGCCUUUCCGGUGUCUGCACCACCGUCUUCUUGUUGUGUUUGCCCAUUCCCAUAAGCGGUCCUGAUUUGGAUGUGAACUUCCCGAGAGGACCCGAGUAAAACUUGAAACGUUUGUUCUUUUCUGGGGCAAGAGGACCUGACUUAGGGGACUGGGUAGUGAGUGAGCCCGAGAGGAAAUCACCCAUCUUCGUGGACUUUGUAGCAGCUGAGCCUGACGCUGGACCUGUGAAUCUCCCAAGAGGACCAGAAGCAAAUCUAGGAGGACGGGUGGUCUCGGACUGAUGCGUCAAAACAGUGGAAACAGAGUGGCCGCGAGCGAUGAAAUCAGAAUCCGCAGAGCUAACAUCGCUAUUACUUACCAAGAAUGAUGACGUCCCAUCGGAUGAUGUUGUACCGUGCAUAUCUAAAUAAUCCCUAAGGCGGGAAAAGCUCUCUCUCAUUGCAUGUAUGUUGUCUAUCCCAAAAAACACAAUCUGAAGAGAAACAGUGUCAGUAAGAACAAGCAGUUCAAGACGACAAAAAUAUUGAGCUUCAAACCAGGUCAUACUUCAGACUGCAAAUAAUUUGAAGAUGAUUCUGAGCCUCCUCCCAUUGCUCCAUUUGCUAACGCAUUUUUCCUAGGUCUUGCAUCUGCGAUGUAAAGCUUCCUAUGACAUAAAAAAACGAGAGUAAGUGCAUCUUUUAUAACAAAAUAGCAACAUUCAACCAUAUUGAAGAUAUGAACCAACAGAAUGUUAUUUUAUUCUACCCAAAUAGACCUUUCUAUAUAUUUCAGAAAUAAUCCCACGCCCAACUGGGCCAACAAUGAGUGGUUUAUCUCCAAGUUAUAUUCAUAUGCAAACGCAAAACCGUACACAAGAAAUGCACGCACAAGGAAGUGUCAUGGGCUUAAAGAUGAUAUAAAGGAGAUCAAUAGUAAAUCCACAUGUUAACUUUAACCAAAUGAGAACGAACAUAGGAAGCUCACCGUGGUGCUCCCUUGUGACCAGCUAACUGAGUGCAGAAUGAAGCAACAAGUUUUUCAUCAAAGUUACUGUUGAAAAAGAGCAAAAUAUUAGAAAACUUCAGAAUCUAUUACUUUGAGAUUCAAAAUAAGAAACUCAAUUAUCAUCACAAUUCUGGCAUGAAACUGAAACUUCUAUGUACCUCCUCAUGUUCAUCAUCAGACCAACUAAAGGUUGUGAAGAGCGAGCAAUCACAGCUCCAGUUCCUGCAAUUAAAGAUCAAAAAGAAACAUGUGUAAAUGCGGAAGCUAUACGAACAAAAUUCAAAUGGAAGCAACAGAACAGCUGCAUUUCUACCUGGAUGGCACCACGAGAUCACGGGCAGGCGACUUUUUGCCCGGAAAGUAGACGCUUGGGUCAGCUCUUCAUCACUGACAUAAAACAUACGGUAAUUUUAGUUCAAGCCUAUACUUUCCAGGAAGAUAGUUUAAACAAAAAAAAACAGAAACUCUAAACGCUGGUAGAGACCAAAUUAAACUCUUUUCAUUCAUGUUCAAAGAACCAAUGUCCUACCUAAUGGAUUUUGGAACCAUCAAAGCAAACGGAUAAGUCGGACACAAGUUAUAAUUCGAGUUCAAGUCAGUUAUCCGCCAAAAGUCAUUGGAAACUGAGAAUGAACCGUCUUUAAUCAUAUUCAUUGACGCUCGCAAUGAACCUUUUCCGAGAAGUCGAAAAUACUCGUUAAGCAAUCUUUCCUUUGGGUUUUUGUUGCCGAAUUUGGAAGGCCCACAUGUAAAAGCAUAAAGAUCCCAUACUCUCUCUAGAUUGCUACACCUCAAUAGUGCAUCAACUAGAGAACGUCUCUGCAAAGUUAUGCCAAUAAAAAUCAAAUAGGACCAUAUAGGCUUCAAAAGGAAAUGCAGAAAACGAGAGUCAAAGCUUCACCUGCUUGGUUCCAGGGCGAAAACCAUAGACAAUUAUCCUCAUAUCUUUGCCUGCAAAAUGCACAUGAUUCACAAGAAUAGUUUCAAAACUAACAUAAAGAAGGUAUCAGAUAACAAAAUCUCUCAACCAGUAUUAGUAUAGUGGUAUUGGUUAAGCAACAACAGAGGAGAAAGAAACAGAGUAAAGUAUCAGAGUGAAUUUUAAUAUAAGGUGUAUAAACCUGAUAAAACAAGACUACUGGAAUCAGUUUUAGCAAAUGGUGACACACGGAAACAUACCAGUGACCUGUAAAAGACGUUUUGGUGGAUUCUUGGUGGACUGAUGUCUGUUUGAAUGAACUUUCUGCACCUACAUACAUCACCCAACGACACAGAACAAACAAAUUAAAGCCCAUUUUCACUAAGAUUAAACUCAAAACGUUACUAAUAACUAAAAACUGACCGUUUUGUUAAACUUCUCGAUAGCCACCAGUGGAAUAGUACCAAGUGGAACAGGAUCUCUGGUUCCUUCCCUCUUCACAAAGAUUAAACAAGGAUUGAUUGAUGUGAUGCACCAUUUUAAACAUAACAAGACACAAAAGAAGAAGAAAGACAAGCCAUAAUACCAAAAAAAGAAUACGGAAAUUUGUGAGUAAGAGGGUCCCCGCUUCAUUGGUGUUUAUGAGUAUAACUCCACAACACUGUAAUCAACAGCCAUAACAAGAAUAUAAAUAAUUUUUCAACAAACACACACACACACACACAAAGACUCUCUGCAAUACAAUAAUCUUAUAUAAACCGCCUAACUACCUAGCGAUUUAUUUAACAUUGCUAAUUUUGAAGGAACGCUAAUGAGAUACCUCGAAGGUGAUCCUCUCAGAAUCCAGCAAGCAAUCCAAGUUUGAGUACGAGCUUGACCAAGAAGCUUGCUGAAAAGAGAAAAUAAUUAAACAUUAAACAUUAGGCGUCAAUCGAUUAACCCUAAUCAAUACCCAAUAAACAAGAUGAGCAACACGAUUGAAAAAGUUAAGAGAGGUAUACAUCGAGUUUGGUCCAUUCAAGCACGUCCCAGCUUCCGGUACCUUCCAUCUUCUCCGAAGAAUAUCGCAGCGAUCGUAAUCGCCUAGAGGAGUUUCUCGGCGCCGUCAUUUAAACGGUGACGAGGCUUCGCCUUUCUCUGCCUCUUAACGGUGGGAAACGACGGAUUUCGCACGCUGCCUUUUGUUUCGCUGCGAAGACAAUGAGACUCUCGAAUACGGCGUAGUUUCUUCCGUACGGCCAACGCUUUGCGUUUUAGACUUUUUUUUGUUUGAUUAAUAAUGGGCUUUCUUACCUAUUUUAAACAGAUUUUGUUGAUAAAAAGUCCUCUAAUGGAAAACUUGAGUGUAGUUUCGGAUAAUUAAAAUUUCAGCAAGAGAAAAAUUGGAUAAUGCAAAAAUAACAAUAACAAUGUUUUAAUUAUAAAUUAGAUAUAUAUAUAUAUUUUAAAUCGUAUUAUAAUAUCCCAAAAUGAAUUUAAAAACUGAAUUUGUAUUUGCAUGUGUAUGAUGAACCAUAUGUAUAUUUAUGAUCGUAUAAAGCAAACACCAUACGCAUUCGUAUUGUAUGCAAUAUACAAGAAUAUUAAUGGUGUAACCGUAUACGUAACUGAAUUUUGAGAUUUUUACCAAAAAAAAAAAAACUGAAUUUUGAGAUUUGCGACUUAUGAAUUGGUUUCCAUGAAGAACCCACACCAGUGACAUCACCAUACGAAUAAACUCUGACCGAGGGAACAACAAGCAGGAGUUAUAAUAAUACAGACAUAACUUGAACAAGUCGGAACUUAAAAUCCCCAAAUCAAGGAUUCUUCUGUAUCAUCACCAUUACAAUAAUCAAAAACAACCUUGGCACAUACGUAUAUGCAGCAGUAGUAUGUAUCAUCUCAACCACAAUAAAAUCUCGUAGAACAAUAUACAACGCAUCAUCACAUCCUACUACAAGUCAGAAUAGUUAAGGAGAUAAAGAUAAAAGAGACGCUCACAUACAUCAUAAUACCUCUCGUGGUAAUCUAGCAAUGUAACAGCUUUUCGUCCUCGGGUUUGGUCCAAGCUGCACGGUUUGGUUGAGUUCCAGUGCCAGUUUAGGUCAAAGAAGUAGUAAAAUAAAUCUAGUCUUGGAAAGCUUCGACUAGUUAUCUGUGUCUAAACAUUUCUCAAGGGUUUGACUACUAGUACACUCUUGAAGAGCCUUGGCGUUAAGCUCUCUGCCAUAUCUCCAGACAUAGUUGAGCCCGACAAGAAGCUCCGUGAUGAUGGUUUCUGUUUUCUGCUGGUUCGCAAAGAAGAGAGUCUGCGCGAGAACUAUGUGCGUCCUCGAAACCAAGCUCUGGUUCUCGUAACUCCUCUCGGACUGCCAUUUUAUCAUGUUGUGAGCUAACGGACCCAACCAUUCCAAGAUGCCCGCCAUUGCGUCUGUCCACUCCUUCGCUAGCCCCGGAUCAUAAACCGCGGAAGAGCUCAAGUUUUUCGAGUAGGGCUUUAGCUCCUCUCUCAGCGAUUUUCUCACGCUCGCAGGUAACAUGUUGUAUAGGUCGUCUCUCGCGUCGUCGCCUAUCAGAUGAGGAGAUGCAACAAACCUCUCUAUCACGAUGAUGACAUUAGCGUAGUGUAACGCUAAGCAAGCGGCGCCGAGGGUGUUAGGAGCAGCAUCUGACAACUUGGGUCUUUCAACGUGGACAGUGUUGGAACUUCCUUGAUGAUGCUCGGCGCUACUAUGCCUAGCUCCGUUCUGGGUCCUAGUGCUGAGAGGAGUGAUACCGUCUUGAGAUACCAUGCAUCCUUUAAAGGGACCAACCUGUGUUAAACGGUUGGGUUUUGACUGCUUUUUCAAUUUCGCACGCUGCCUUUAGCUGAACCACCUAAAUGUUAUUCCCUUGAAGUUACUUACCAAGAAUGAUGACGUCCCAUCGGAUGAUGUUGUACCGUGCAUAUCUAAAUAAUCCCUAAGGCGGGAAAAGCUCUCUCUCAUUGCAUGUAUGUUGUCUAUCCCAAAAAACACAAUCUGAAGAGAAACAGUGUCAGUAAGAACAAGCAGUUCAAGACGACAAAAAUAUUGAGCUUCAAACCAGGUCAUACUUCAGACUGCAAAUAAUUUGAAGAUGAUUCUGAGCCUCCUCCCAUUGCUCCAUUUGCUAACGCAUUUUUCCUAGGUCUUGCAUCUGCGAUGUAAAGCUUCCUAUGACAUAAAAAAACGAGAGUAAGUGCAUCUUUUAUAACAAAAUAGCAACAUUCAACCAUAUUGAAGAUAUGAACCAACAGAAUGUUAUUUUAUUCUACCCAAAUAGACCUUUCUAUAUAUUUCAGAAAUAAUCCCACGCCCAACUGGGCCAACAAUGAGUGGUUUAUCUCCAAGUUAUAUUCAUAUGCAAACGCAAAACCGUACACAAGAAAUGCACGCACAAGGAAGUGUCAUGGGCUUAAAGAUGAUAUAAAGGAGAUCAAUAGUAAAUCCACAUGUUAACUUUAACCAAAUGAGAACGAACAUAGGAAGCUCACCGUGGUGCUCCCUUGUGACCAGCUAACUGAGUGCAGAAUGAAGCAACAAGUUUUUCAUCAAAGUUACUGUUGAAAAAGAGCAAAAUAUUAGAAAACUUCAGAAUCUAUUACUUUGAGAUUCAAAAUAAGAAACUCAAUUAUCAUCACAAUUCUGGCAUGAAACUGAAACUUCUAUGUACCUCCUCAUGUUCAUCAUCAGACCAACUAAAGGUUGUGAAGAGCGAGCAAUCACAGCUCCAGUUCCUGCAAUUAAAGAUCAAAAAGAAACAUGUGUAAAUGCGGAAGCUAUACGAACAAAAUUCAAAUGGAAGCAACAAAACAGCUGCAUUUCUACCUGGAUGGCACCACGAGAUCACGGGCAGGCGACUUUUUGCCCGGAAAGUAGACGCUUGGGUCAGCUCUUCAUCACUGACAUAAAACAUACGGUAAUUUUAGUUCAAGACUAUACUUUCGAGGAAGAUAGUUUAAACAAAAAUAAACAGAAGCUCUAAAGGCUGGUAGAGACCAAAUUAAACUGUUUUCAUUCAUGUUCAAAGAAUCAAUGUCCUACCUAAUGGAUUUUGGAACCAUCAAAGCAAACGGAUAAGUCGGACACAAGUUAUAAUUCGAGUUCAAGUCAGUUAUCCGCCAAAAGUCAUUGGAAACUGAGAAUGAACCGUCUUUAAUCAUAUUCAUUGACGCUCGCAAUGAACCUUUUCCGAGAAGUCGAAAAUAUUCGUUAAGCAAUCUUUCCUUUGGGUUUUUGUUGCCGAAUUUGGAAGGCCCACAUGUAAAAGCAUAAAGAUCCCAUACUCUCUCUAGAUUGCUACACCUCAAUAGUGCAUCAACUAGAGAACGUCUCUGCAAAAUUAUACCAAUAGAAUCAAAUAGGACCAUAUAGGCUUCAAAAGGAAAUGCAGAAAACGAGAGUCAAAGCUUCACCUGCUUGGUUCCAGGGGGAAAACCAUAGACAAUUAUCCUCAUAUCUUUGCCUGCAAAAUGCACAUGAUUCACAAGAAUAGUUUCAAAACUAACAUAAAGAAGGUAUCAGAUAACAAAAUCUCUCAACCAGUAUUAGUAUAGUGGUAUAUUGGUUAAGAAACAACAGAGGAGAAAGAAAGAGAGCAAAAUAUCAGAGUGAAUUUUAAUAUAAGGCGUAUAAACCUGAUAAAACAAGACUACUGGAAUCAGUUUUAGCAAAUGAUAACACACGGAAACAUACCAGUGACCUGUAAAAGACGUUUUGGUGGAUUCUUGGUGGACUGAUGUCUGUUUGAUUGAACUUUCUGCACCUACAUACAACACCCAACGACACAAAACAAACAAAUUAAAGCCCAAUUUCACUAAGAUUAAACUCAAAACAUACUAAUAACUAAAAACAGACCGUUUUGUUAAACUUCUCGAUAGCCACCAGUGGAAUUGUACCAAGUGGAACAGGAUCUCUGGUUCCUUCCCUCUUCACAAAGAGAAAAAAAGGAUUGAUGUGAUGCACCAUUUUAAAACAUUACAAGACACAAAGAAGAAAGACAGAAAGACAAGCCAUACCAAAAACAGAAUACGGAAAUUUGUGAGUAAGAGGGUCCCUGCUUCAUUGGUGUUGAUGAGUAUAACUCCACAACACUGUAAUCAACAGCCAUAACAAGAAUAUAAAUAAUUUUUUCAACAAACACACACACAAAGACUCUCUGCAAUACAAUAAUCUUAUAUAAACCGCCUAACUACCUCGAAGGUGAUCCUCUCAGAAUCCAGCAAGCAAUCCAAGUUUGAGUACGAGCUUGACCAAGAAGCUUGCUGAAAAGAGAAAAUAAUAAUUAAACAUUAGGCGUCAAUCGAUUAGCCCUAAUCAAUAUCCAAAUAAACAAGAUGAGCAACAUGAUUGAAAAAGUUAAAGAGAGGAAUACAUCGAGUUUGGUCCAUUCAAGCACGUCCCAGCUUCCGGUACCUUCCAUCUUCUCCGACGAAUAUCGCAGCGAUCGUAAUCGCCUAGAGGAGUUUCUCGGCGCCGUCAUCUAAACGGUGACGAGGCUCGCCUUUCUCUUUCUCUGCCUCUUAACGGUGGGAAACGACGGAUUUCGCACGCUGCCUUUUCGCUACGGAGACAAUGAGACUCUCGAAUACGGCGUAGUUUCUUCCGUACGGCCAACGCUUUGCGUUUUAGACUUGUUUUUGUUUGUUUGAUUAAUAAUGGGCUUUCUUACCUAUUUUAAACAUAUUUUGUUGAUAAAAAGUAAUGGAAAAUUUGAGUGUAGUUUUGGAUAAUUAAAAUUUCAGCAAGAAAAAAAUUGGAUAAUGAACUGAAGAAUUCUUAUUUGAACUCAAUUUAUGUACUCUCUGUACAAAAAAAUAAUAAUAACAAUGUUUUAAUUAUAAAUUAGAUAUAUAUAUAUAUAUAUAUAUAUAUAAUUUUAAAAAUCGUAUUAUAAUAUCUCAAAAUGAAUUUCAAAACUGAAUUUGUAUUUGUAUGUGUGUGAUGAACCAUUUGUAUAUUUAUGAUCGUAUAAAGCAAACACCAUACGCAUUCGUAUUGUAUGCAAUAUACAAGAAUAUUAAUGGUGUAACCGUAUACGUAACUGAAUUUUGAGAUUUGCGACUUAUGAAUUGGUUUCCAUGAAGAACCCACACCAGUGACAUCACCAUACGAAUAAACUCUGACCGAGAGAACAACAAGCACGAGUUAUAAUAAUACAGACAUAACUUGAACAACUCGGAACUUAAAAUCCCCAAAUCAAGGAUUCUUCUGUAUCAUCACCACUGGAUUUUACAAUAAUCAAAAACAACCUUGGCACAUACGUAUAUGCAGCAGUAGUAUGUAUCAUCUCAACCACAAUAAAAUCUCGUAGAAACAAUAUACAAUGCAUCAUCACAUCCUACUACAAGUCAGAAUAGUAAAGGAGAUAAAGAGAAAAGAGACGCUCACAUCAUAAUACCUCUCGUGGUAAUCUAGCAACGUAACAGCUUUUCGUCCUCGGGUUUGGUCCAAGCUGCACGGUUUGGUUGAGUUCCAAUGCCAGUUUAGGUAAAAAAUAUAGUCUAGGAGAGCUUCAGUAGUUAUCCGUGUCUAAACAUUUCUCAAGUGUUUGACUACUAGUACACUCUUGAAGAGCCUUGGCGUUAAGCUCUCUGCCAUAUCUCCAGACAUAGUUGAGCCCGACAAGAAGCUCCGUGAUGAUGGUUUCUGUUUUCUGCUGGUUCGCAAAGAAGAGAGUCUGCGCGAGAACUAUGUGCGUCCUCGAAACCAAGCUCUGGUUCUCGUAACUCCUCUCGGACUGCCAUUUUAUCAUGUUGUGAGCUAACGGACCCAACCAUUCCAAGAUACCCGCCAUUGCGUCUGUCCACUCCUUCGCUAGCCCCGGAUCAUAAACCGCGGAAGAGCUCAAGUUUUUCGAGUACGGCUUUAGCCUCUCUCUCAACGAUUUUCUCACGCUCGCUGGUAACAUGUUGUAAAGGUCGUCUCUCGCAUCGUCGCCUAUCAAGUGGGGAGAUGCAACGAAUCUCUCUAUCACGAUGAUGACAUUAGCGUAGUGUAACGCUAAGCAAGCGGCGCCGAGGGUGUUAGGAGCAGCAUCUGACAACUUGGGUCUUUCAACGUGGACAG